rnacentral:rRNA from 1 species
GAUGAACGCUGGCGGCGUGCCUAAUACAUGCAAGUCGAGCGAACAGACGAGGAGCUUGCUCCUCUGACGUUAGCGGCGGACGGGUGAGUAACACGUGGAUAACCUACCUAUAAGACUGGGAUAACUUCGGGAAACCGGAGCUAAUACCGGAUAAUAUAUUGAACCGCAUGGUUCAAUAGUGAAAGACGGUUUUGCUGUCACUUAUAGAUGGAUCCGCGCCGCAUUAGCUAGUUGGUAAGGUAACGGCUUACCAAGGCAACGAUGCGUAGCCGACCUGAGAGGGUGAUCGGCGACACUGGAACUGAGACACGGUCCAGACUCCUACGGAAGGCAGCAGUAGGGAAUCUUCCGCAAUGGGCGAAAGCCUGACGGAGCAGCGCCGCGUGAGUGAUGAAGGUCUUCGGAUCGUAAAACUCUGUUAUUAGGGAAGAACAAAUGUGUAAGUAACUAUGCACGGCUUGACGGUACCUAAUCAGAAAGCCACGGCUAACUACGUG